rnacentral:lncRNA from 1 species
UAGCUAUUCUUUUCGUUUAAAUUUUUUAAAAAGGUUUUAAAUUAAACUAGUGUGUGUUGGCUUAAAUGGGCUAGCAUCCUAUUCUAUGGUGGGAGAUCAUGUUGGGUCGAAUCAUAUUCGAAAUGGUGUGAGAUUGGGGUGGGCCAAGUCAUGUUCGAAAUGACGUGAGAUUGAUUAGACUGAAUCACAAUCGAAAUCCGUGGGCGCUGUAUCUGUACGUUUUAAGUAAAUUAUUUGUGUAUUUCUAACAGCUCGAACUUUUGGGAUUAAUGGUUAGCACCAACGAUCCGACAAGUGGUAACGGUUUCGAUUCCCGCAUGCUGCAAAUGUGUCCAAGUGCUGGAGGGAGGAUUGUUGGUUUAAAUGGGCCAGUAUUAUGUCCUGUGGCGGGAAGCCGUAUUUGGCCGAGUUAUGUUCGAAAUGGCGUGAGGCUGGGAUGGGCCAAGUCAUGUUCGAAAUGACGUGAGGUUGGUUGUGCCGAGUCACAAUCCAAGCUCGUGGGCGUUGUAUCUGUACGCUUUAAGUGAAUUGGUUGCGUAUUUCUAACAGCUUGAUCAAGUUGAAGAAUAGUUCUAGCUUAUUAUCAUAUCGAUCUUUUAAAUAAUAUUGUUUCAAAU